rnacentral:misc_RNA from 1 species
UUUCCGUAGGUGAACCUGCGGAAGGAUCAUUACAGUAGUCGCCCGGGUUGCCGCAAGGCCUCCCGGGUAACCUACCACCCUUUGUUUAUUACACUUUGUUGCUUUGGCAGGCCUGCCCUCGGGCUGCUGGCUCCGGCCGGCGAGCGCUUGCCAGAGGACCUAAACUCUGUUUGUCUAUACUGUCUGAGUACUAUAUAAUAGUUAAAACUUUCAACAACGGAUCUCUUGGUUCUG